GAGUGAAGCGGCAACAGCUCAAAUUUGAAAUCUGGCUCUUUCAGAGUCCGAGUUGUAAUUUGUAGAGGGUGCUUUGGCGUUGGCCGUGGUCUAAGUUCCUUGGAACAGGACGUCACAGAGGGUGAGAAUCCCGUACGUGGCCGCCGGUCUUCGCCGUGUAAAGCCCCUUCGACGAGUCGAGUUGUUUGGGAAUGCAGCUCUAAAUGGGAGAUAAAUUUCUUCUAAAGCUAAAUAUUGGCCAGAGACCGAUAGCGCACAAGUAGAGUGAUCGAAAGAUGAAAAGCACUUUGGAAAGAGAGUCAAAAAGCACGUGAAAUUGUUGAAAGGGAAGCGCUUGCAGCCAGACGUGCCCGCAGUUGCUCACCUGGGCUCUCGCCCGGGGCAUUCUUCUGCGGGCAGGCCAGCAUCAGUUCGGGCGGUUGGAUAAAGGCCUCCAUCACGUACCAUCCUUCGGGAUGUCCUUAUAGGGGAGGCGCAACACGACCAGCCUGAACUGAGGACCGCGCAUUUGCUAGGAUGCUGGCGUAAUGGCUGUAAGCGGCCCGUCUUGAAACACGGACCAAGGAGUCUAACAUCUAUGCGAGUGUUUGGGUGUAAAGCCCGGACGCGCAAUGAAAGUGAACGGAGGUGGGAACCCCUCGGGGUGCACCAUCGACCGAUCCUGAAGUCUUCGGAUGGAUUUGAGUAAGAGCAUAGCUGUUGGGACCCGAAAGAUGGUGAACUAUGCCUGAAUAGGGUGAAGCCAGGGGAAACCCUGGUGGAGGCUCGCAGCGGUUCUGACGUGCAAAUCGAUCGUCAAAUUUGGGCAU
rnacentral:rRNA from 1 species